UCAAGCAGUUCUUCAUUCUCAGUUUUCAAUUUCAAAUUCUCUCAAGGUAUCAAAAUCAAAAGCUCAGAUAUCUCAGUUUCAACUCAAACACUCACUCACUUGCUGCAUCUCUCAGAUCAGCCCGCUUCUCUCUCUUUGAUUCCCAAGAAGAUCAGCUCGCUUUUCUCUGCGCAUUAUUCCCUUUAAUUCCUGCAAUGCUUCUCCAAUUCUGAUUGCAGGUACUAUUUUUGACUUCUCCAAUUCCAUAGACUCCGACUCGCCGACAAUGGUGGUUCUCCGUUCACUCCCUCACCGCCUCUCUCUUUUUCCGGCGACCUCUGUUCUCUCCGAAACCUCUCUCCGUCCGCGAAAGAUCGGCGUCCGAUUCAAGCAUUUCCUUCCUUGAGUAUCGUCGGAUCUUGUAUCUCACUCGCAGCGAUUCGUGCAUAGCUCGACCUCCAUGGCCAUCAGAGGCGUCGAUUUCAAGUGAUUGUUGCUGUGGCAAAUUUGACGCCAGCUGAUGAUUCAGUGGACGAGCUUGAUAGUUACAUGUAUCAAACUGUAAAUCUCCUUCCUCUUGUCUAUAUUUCACCUUAUUUGAAUGUUUCUUCUUUCAAAAGCAAAGAGUUAAGUUAUGUAUGUAUGUAUGUAUGUUAAAACUUAAUAGUCAUUAACAGAUCAUACACAAAACUAGGAGAUUUUGAGAAAUGAGAAGCUACCAUUGUUUCCGCAGAUUGGAAGCAUGCAUUUUCCUUACUCUGGCAUUUUCCUUACUCUGGAAAUGCCAAAUAAUACACAAAACUAGUUCUGCAAAUUGUUUAGUUUCGAAAAUAUAUGAGGUAAAUUGGAAAUGCCAUGUGUGAGUUUGAUUGGGGGAAGGCCUUUAGUUUGAUUUAACACAUUUAGGCUACAUGUAAUCAGAAUACAUGUGAAUGCAUACAGAACAAAAGCUUUUGGAUUGAUUAUGCAUACAGAACAAAAGCUUUUGGAUUGAUUUGUACAACUCUAGAAGAUGUCUGAGCAUGGUGAGGUGAGUAAAUUAAUACCAGCAACUCUGUAAGGGUAUUUGGUUAUCAUGUUUUUGUAUUCAUUGUUACAACUCUAUAUGAUUCUGUAUUCAUUUAAUCUUCUUUUAUUCAAGUUCGUGGGCUUGGGUUUGGUGCUACACCAUCUCGAGUCAAUGCUACUAUUCAAGGGAGUGCAAAGGUUAAAGAACUUGAAGCUACUGUAUUAAGUCUCCAAGUACAAAAGUUCAUUGUGUGCCUCUUGGACGAGAUUGUUGGAAGGUUUGGGUUGAUGUGGUGUUUGAUGAGUAUCAGAAUAUGGAAGUGUAUAGAGCAACCAUGGAUGCCAAACAACUUGGUGAAGUUGUAGGAAGCACUCUUGCAUGGCCCAAAAGCUCCAUUAAAAUGCUCCCUUAGUAGUUGAAGUAGCAGGUACAUUUUGCUUUACUAGAGAAUUUAUGUAGGUCAGGAAGUACCAUGCAUGUUUUGUGAAUGCUGAUGAACAAAGAAUCCAGUACUUUGUCAUGCUUGUUUUGUAAAGCACAUAUGUAUAAGAGAAUGUGGCACUCCUAAUGAAAUGUAUAUUUUUCAUA